rnacentral:tRNA from 1 species
AAGGAGUUAGUUAAAUAUUAAAUAACAUUAAAUUGUCAAUUUAAAAUUACUAAAUUAGUACACCUUG